UGGGGAAUAUUGCACAAUGGAGGAAACUCUGAUGCAGCGACGCCGCGUGAGCGAAGAAGUAUUUCGGUAUGUAAAGCUCUGUCAGCAGGGAAGAUAAUGACGGUACCUGACUAAGAAGCCCCGGCUAACUACGUGCCAGCAGCCGCGGUAAUACGUAGGGGCAAGCGUUAUCCGGAUUUACUGGGUGUAAAGGGAGUGUAGGUGGCUGCGCAAGUCAGGAGUGAAAGCCCGGGGCUCAACCCCGGGACUGCUCUUGAAACUGCGCGGCUUGAGUGCAGGAGGGGCAGGCGGAAUUCCUAGUGUAGCGGUGAAAUGCGUAGAUAUUAGGAGGAACACCGGUGGCGAAGGCGGCCUGCUGGACUGUAACUGACACUGAGGCUCGAAAGCGUGGGGAGCAAACAGGAUUAGAUACCCUGGUAGU
rnacentral:rRNA from 1 species